AAAACCUGAGCUCUGUAAUCAAACUUUGUCUGGGACAAGAAAUCCUUUGAAAUCCGAGGUUAAUUACAUAUUGCUAAAGCUGAAUCUUAUAUAACAAAACGCAUGAAAUAAUCCGUAGGCAAGAGACAUCGACAAUACACUACAGAUGGUUUCUAAUUAUAUGUGUGUCUCUUAAAGAAACAUUUCCUAGUGCUAAUUGAGUGGCAGGAGGGUCUCCUGGGAAUACACAGCAACAAAAGAAUGGCCCGUGCCCUCCUUGUCUGUGUUCUGUACAUUGCUAUGACUGGCGUUUGUUCCAACAGACGGACACCUAGCUCCACCAUAACUCCAUCAGACCAAAAUCAACCCAAUUUCAAUGCAUCCACAAAGAACACAUCUGGAGAAAUGAAUGAAGCAUCAAGUGACAAAAUACAACCUGCACAGAACGAGAGCAGACCAAUCGGCAAAAGAUUCUAUUAUUAUGAAAAGCCUCUAGAAUCAGGGAGACGAAGGCUGAUAAGCAAAGCUCAAAUAAGAUCACGAAAGAGUUUCAGACCACAGAAAAGGAAAAUAGAUAUAUCUAGUAUUCUUGCGCUCUUUAAAAAGAAAAUAGCAAAGGUGAAACACUCCAAAAAGAAAAUUUAAUUUUCUUUGCCAUCAUGAUUACAGGUGGUGGAUAUGGAAAUAAAUGAUUUAUGUUCACAAUUAUUGUUGAAUUGUUGUUCAUGGUAAUGGUGUAGGCCUUCAGUGAUAUUGUUGUACAGUGACAUUUUAAUAGUAUAGUCACUAUUUAGAGAUGUUGAAAGUAUUUCAGUUGUUUAGUUUAUGGCGUGGUAAAGAUUCAUUAAAAAGUAUUUUUAAAAAAUGUU